UCUCAACCACUGCGCCACCAGGGAAGGCCUAAUCUGCCAUUAUUACUUCUGAAAAUUAGAUGUUGUUGCCACUGACAACAAAGGAUUUAAGUCAUUUGCUCCCAAUUCAAAGUCAAGAGUUUAGGUAUUGACAGAUCAAGGACACCUAUGUAGCAAUGCCUGGCUGCAAGGGAAGUGGUGAAAGUGAAUAUUUGGUAUUUGGGGCUCCUAUGGUAUCAAGUAGGCUUUGCCUCCUACCAGUUCCCAUACGGUGAAUAUUAGCCAAGUGUAGAAAAAUCAUCGUAUUUUUUCUGAAAAUCGGGACCUAUGGUCACUUUGAAAUGAGUCUAGACACAACCCCUCUUUUAGUAUCUUGAUGAAUUAUUCCUGAAGAAAAGAGAAGUUACAAGAGAAUGACAGAGGGUAAGUUCUUUUUUCUUUUGAGGAGGUAUGAAAUAUAGGCUGAGGUUAGGGUUAGAUGCCCAAAGACCUAAGUGUUCUGUAAUCUUGCAAGGGUCCCUUCAUCUACCUAGGGUUCAGGCAGUUCAUACAUAAAGUGAGAGAAUUGAGCAAAAUAAUCUCUAACUUCUCUGUGUGCACUAAGAAAUAAUAUAUCAUUCUUUUUCUCCAGGGGAAGUAUAAAGUUGAGUCAAAGGCUGAAAUGGAAAUAAAGCUAGAAGUUCUCUCAAACAACAAGUACUGAAGAUGCAUUUUUCUUUUUACAGCCAAUUUUCCAUCUCAUGUGGUUUUAAAAAUAAUGUAACUGUACUAUAUAUCAGUGAAAAAGAAUAAAAUAUCACUGCACACAUCAAAUUGGAUGCAUCUCAGAAAAUAACAUUGAGUGAAAAAGAUCAAGUUGCAGAAGAAUUCAGACAGUGAUUCCAUUUAUAUCAACUCAGAACAUUUGCGACUAAACUACCCACUGUUUGAGAAUAUCAACAUAUGUGCCAAAACAAGACUUUCAUGUUUAAGUAAAUAGAUAUUUCACAAGAAACAUGAAACAGAACCUUGUGCUUUGGGAGUUCUUCAUAUAAAAACAAAACAGCAUCAACAACACAAGGUACUGCUUUGCGAGAACUGUUUUGCAAAAGAACACCAGGCUGUGUGAAUGUUGAAUCUGGAUUUCUUGGCCGCACUGUUGGACCCGGGAGGCUACUGCUAGUAGAUGGGUGACUUUUCAGGCUUUAGAAAAUGCUUAAUAAGUCAUUAGACCCUUACUGCAGUUGGCGAGGCUUCUCAGCUCAUAGACGAUAAAACGUCUAGUGAGGGAGGGAAAACAACAAAACAACAGUGAGGUCUAAGAUUUUAUUUAUAUUUUCUUAAGAUUUCUUUUUUUUGAU